AACGAACGCUGGCGGCAGGCUUAACACAUGCAAGUCGAACGCCCCGCAAGGGGAGUGGCAGACGGGUGAGUAACGCGUGGGAAUCUACCUAGUUCUACGGAACAACUGAGGGAAACUUCAGCUAAUACCGUAUACGCCCUAAGGGGGAAAGAUUUAUCGGAAUUAGAUGAGCCCGCGUUGGAUUAGCUAGUUGGUGGGGUAAUGGCCUACCAAGGCGACGAUCUAUAGCUGGUCUGAGAGGAUGAUCAGCCACACUGGGACUGAGACACGGCCCAGACUCCUACGGGAGGCAGCAGUGGGGAAUAUUGGACAAUGGGCGCAAGCCUGAUCCAGCCAUGCCGCGUGAGUGAUGAAGGCCUUAGGGUUGUAAAGCUCUUUCAGUGGGGACGAUAAUGACGGUACCCACAGAAGAAGCCCCGGCUAACUUCGUGCCAGCCGCCGCGGUAAGAC
rnacentral:rRNA from 1 species